GCAAAGUUUGAUCCUUGCUUAAUUCUCUAGUGUAAGAACAAAUUUACAUGUUAGUAUAAGCGAGAUACUUAGUAGGGGUUAAAAUUCUGUUUUUUAGAUCUCAGUAUGUAAUUUUGGGGUUAAGUUAAUACUUGAGCUAGUGAUUCUUUUAUUUGAGGCUAAAUUUGUGCCAGCAGCCGCGGUUAGACUAAGGGUAAAAUUAGAGAUUGAGAGGUAUGUAGUUAUAAUUCUAGAUUUUACUAUUUAUUAUCAUAUUAUUAAGAGGUGAAACUUGUAUAUUUAUAGUGGUGUAUUUAUAGUUGUAUCGAUCUGAAUACUAUUGAGAUUUAGAAAUAAACCAGGAUUAGAUACCCUGUUAUACUAGAUUGAAACAAAAUUACGCUUGAGUAGUAACAAGUUAUGAGCUCGAAACUUAAAGGAUUUGGCGGUAUUUAAGCCUAGUUAGAGGAACCUGCUCUGUAAACGAUAUGCCACGAAUAAUCUUACUUUAUUUAGUAUUCAGCUUGUAUACCUCCAUUAUAAGUUAUUUUUUUAAAAAUUGUCUGUAAUAAAAGCUUUUUAGGAUAUUAGGUCAAGGUGCAGCCAAUAGUAAAGUAGUUGUGGGUUACAGUGUGUUACACACAGAUGAAUGAAUAUAUGAAAGUAUGUUUUGAAAUUGGAUUUAAUUGUAUUUUUAAAAUAAUAAGUUAAAAUGAUAAUAGCUCUAAAAUAUGUACACAUCGCCCGUCGCUCUCAUUACAAGGUGAGAUAAGUCGUAACAUAGUGGUUGUAUUGGAAAAUGCAUCUGGAAGUA
rnacentral:ncRNA from 1 species